rnacentral:rRNA from 1 species
UACGUAGGGCGCAAGCGUUGUCCGGAAUUAUUGGGCGUAAAGAGCUCGUAGGCGGUCUGUCACGUCUGCCGUGAAAACCCGAGGCUUAACCUCGUGGCUUGCGGUGGAUACGGGCAGACUAGAGGUAGGUAGGGGAGAACGGAAUUCCCGGUGUAGCGGUGAAAUGCGCAGAUAUCAGGAAGAACACCCGUGGCGAAGGCGGCUCUCUGGACAGUGACUGACGCUGAGACGCGAAAGCGUGGGGAGCAAACAGG